rfam:Schistosoma rodhaini strain Burundi genome assembly, scaffold: SROB_scaffold0009563
AUCCAACGGACGAGUCCCAAAUAGAACGAAACGCGCUUCAAACUGUAU